rnacentral:rRNA from 1 species
CCAGACUCCUACGGGAGGCAGCAGUGGGGAAUAUUGCACAAUGGGGGAAACCCUGAUGCAGCGACGCCGCGUGAGCGAUGAAGUAUUUCGGUAUGUAAAGCUCUAUCAGCAGGGAAGAAAAUGACGGUACCUGACUAAGAAGCCCCGGCUAACUACGUGCCAGCAGCCGCGGUAAUACGUAGGGGGCGAGCGUUAUCCGGAUUCACUGGGUGUAAAGGGAGCGUAGACGGCCAUGCAAGCCAGGGGUGAAAGCCCGGGGCCCAACCCCGGGACUGCCCUUGGAACUGCAUGGCUGGAGUGCAGGAGGGGCAGGCGGAAUUCCUGGUGUAGCGGUGAAAUGCGUAGAUAUCAGGAGGAACACCGGCGGCGAAGGCGGCCUGCUGGACCGCGACUGACGUUGAGGCUCGAAAGCGUGGGGAGCGAACAGGAUUAGAUACCCCUGUAGA